AUUGAACGCUGGCGGCAGGCUUAACACAUGCAAGUCGAACGAGUGGCGGACGGGUGAGUAAUGUUUGGGCAUCUGGCUAAUGGCGGGGGAUAACUACGGGAAACUGUAGCUAAUACCGCGUACCAUAGGAUGAGCCCAUACGGGAUUAGGUAGUUGGUGAGGUAAAGGCUCACCAAGCCGACGAUCUGUAGCUGGUCUGAGAGGAUGACCAGCCACACUGGUACUGAGACACGGCCCAGACUCCUACGGGAGGCAGCAGUGGGGAAUAUUGCGCAAUGGGGGAAACCUGAUGCAGCCAUGCCGCGUGAAUGAAGAAGGCCUUCGGGUUGUAAAGUACUUUUGGUAGAGAGGCGUUAACUACAGAAGAAGCACCGGCUAACUCCGUGCCAGCAGCCGCGGUAAUUC
rnacentral:rRNA from 1 species